UCCCGCCGGCCAUUCUCCGCGCGACUCUCGUUCAGCGCAGACGCGUGUUCCUCGCUCGAGAAUUUGCCUUCGAAGGGCGACAAAACCCCAAGGCUCCUCGCCAUUGGCUCUCAAAGGCCUCGACAUCACCCAAGACCGCAAGGAGAAGCUGUGUCAGCGGCCGCAGGAUGAAGUGGCUGUGGAUCCUUCUGCAGGUGUUGGCGGCCGCGUCCGCUCGGAGCCUGGGCGGGGAGGUCGGCGUGCCGCUGGUCACAGAAAAUCCCCUUUGCUUCAAAGUCAACUGUCCGCACAUUAUUGUCCCCGGAUGUGACCCCCCUAAUGUGCCCGGGGGUUGCUGCCCGGACUGGAAGCAGUGCGAAGACUUUGGAGCGUCCUCUUGAACCUUCGAACCGCUGAAGAAACUAUAAUCCUCGGGAGAUUAGAAGCAAAAUUUUAUCCUUUGAGUUCCUUUUAACUCAAGAAGGUCUGUUGAUGUGGAUUUGAACUUGCUUGACUAAUAAAUCCUUUUACUAUUAUUA